GUCGAGCGCGAAUUUCCUUCGGGAAUGAGUAGAGCGGCGGACGGGUGAGUAACGCGUAGGAAUCUACCUAGUAGUGGGGGACAACAUGUGGAAACGCAUGCUAAUACCGCAUAAGCCCUAAGGGGGAAAGCAGGGGAUCUUCGGACCUUGCGCUAUUGGAUGAGCCUGCGUCGGAUUAGCUAGUUGGUGGGGUAAUGGCCUACCAAGGCAACGAUCCGUAGCUGGUCUGAGAGGAUGAUCAGCCACACUGGAACUGAGACACGGUCCAGACUCCUACGGGAGGCAGCAGUGGGGAAUAUUGGACAAUGGGGGAAACCCUGAUCCAGCCAUGCCGCGUGUGUGAAGAAGGCUCUAGGGUUGUAAAGCACUUUCAGUAGGGAGGAAAAGUUAGUAGUUAAUAGCUGCUAGCCCUGACGUUACCUACAGAAGAAGCACCGGCAAACUCCGUG
rnacentral:rRNA from 1 species